UACGAAGGGGGCUAGCGUUGUUCGGAAUUACUGGGCGUAAAGGGCGCGUAGGCGGCCUGACAAGUCAGAGGUGAAAGUCCUGGGCUCAACCUGGGGACUGCCUUUGAAACUGUUGGGCUUGAGACCGGGAGAGGUGAGUGGAAUUCCCAGUGUAGAGGUGAAAUUCGUAGAUAUUGGGAAGAACACCAGUGGCGAAGGCGGCUCACUGGACCGGUUCUGACGCUGAGGCGCGAAAGCGUGGGGAGCAAACAGG
rnacentral:rRNA from 1 species